rnacentral:rRNA from 1 species
UACGGGGGGGGCAAGCGUUGUUCGGAAUUACUGGGCGUAAAGGGCUCGUAGGUGGCCAACUAAGUCAGACGUGAAAUCCCUCGGCUUAACCGGGGAACUGCGUCUGAUACUGGAUGGCUUGAGAUUGGGAGAGGGAUGCGGAAUUCCAGGUGUAGCGGUGAAAUGCGUAGAUAUCUGGAGGAACACCGGUGGCGAAGGCGGCGAUCUGGGUAGAUACUGACGCUGAGGUGCGAAAGCGUGGGGAGCAAACAGG